GACGAACGCUGGCGGCGUGCUUAACACAUGCAAGUCGAACGGAAAGGCCCUGCUUUUGUGGGGUGCUCGAGUGGCGAACGGGUGAGUAACACGUGAGUAACCUGCCCUUGACUUUGGGAUAACUUCAGGAAACUGGGGCUAAUACCGGAUAGGAGCUCCUGCUGCAUGGUGGGGGUUGGAAAGUUUCGGCGGUUGGGGAUGGACUCGCGGCUUAUCAGCUUGUUGGUGGGGUAGUGGCUUACCAAGGCUUUGACGGGUAGCCGGCCUGAGAGGGUGACCGGCCACAUUGGGACUGAGAUACGGACCAGACUCCUACGGGAGGCAGCAGUGGGGAAUAUUGCACAAUGGGCGGAAGCCUGAUGCAGCAACGCAGCGUGCGGGAUGACGGCCUUCGGGUUGUAAACCGCUUUCGCCUGUGACGAAGCGUGAGUGACGGUAAUGGGUAAAGAAGCACCGGCUAACUACGUG
rnacentral:rRNA from 1 species